rnacentral:rRNA from 1 species
UACGAGUGCUCCAAGCGUUAUCCGGAAUCAUUGGGCGUAAAGGGUGUGUAGGCGGUUGUGUUAGUCUUUUGUUAAAUUCUUCGGCUUAACCGGGGGCAUGCAAAGGAAACGGCACAACUUGAGGAUGCGAGAGGUGAAUGGAACUCAUGGAGUAGGGGUGAAAUCCGUUGAUAUCAUGGGGAACACCAAAUGCGAAGGCAAUUCACUGGCGCACUCCUGACGCUGAGACACGAAAGCGUAGGUAGCGAAUGGG